AUGAUCACCAAAAGAACCCAAGAACAGCCUCUGACGCUCACUCAAGACUUCUACUGCCACGAGAACGGGAGGGACGGCGACGUGCCCUCCGAGGAGCCGUCGGCGCCGACGUGGAAGAUCCCGUGGCAGUUCAUCUCGUUGUCGUUGGAGCUCGGGACCAGCGCGCCACCGGCGUUGAGCUGCUGCUCGCCGUCCAUGCCGCCGGCGAAGGCGGCGAAGCCGGUGGCGGCGCUGGAGGCCUGGGAGCAGGCGAACCAGGAGGAGCUGCCGAACUGCUGCAGGUUGGGGACGGAGGGGAUGUGCUCGCUUGGACGGACCAUCCGGCUGACGUCGACGCUGGAGGAGUUGGCCGGGGAUGACAGAAGAGAGAGAGCACAGUCGGAGUCGAGCAUGUGCGUCAACUGUCCAUCGGAGAACAUCUUGUUGCUGCUGCUGCUCUCGGGCGGCGGCGGCGGCGGCGCGACGGCCUUGAGGAGAGGCUGGCACACGGGGGGGAUCUCGAGGGCCGCCGCGCCCGUGCUGAAGCUCAUCUGA
rnacentral:rRNA from 1 species